CUUUCUAUCCCACAUAGUUCAGACAAAAC
rfam:Sulfurihydrogenibium azorense Az-Fu1, complete genome.